CGUAUUUCUUCAGCAUGUUUGGAUGAUUAACUCAAUUCCUACUUGUGUUACAGUUCAAUAACAUGUUUCUCUGUUAAAUGUGCUCUGUUUGUCUGGAUAAUUCCACUUGAACCGUCAGCGGUGGACUAUAACAGAUCAUAAUCGCAGUUGUUUGGUGCAAGACCAUAGAAUGGUACCCAAUUUUGCCUGCCCUCAUUAGUCAUCACAAUAUAAAAGAUUUUACAUUUAGAAGACAAUCCUGCAAAUUUGCAACUGUACAAAUUGCACUUCAUCUCAUCUGCUGCUGGAAUAAAUAAUGAAAGAUUUUCAAACCAGUGUCCAAGAGCCUCCUAGAGUCUGGAAUGAUGGUGUUCUUUAUUAAGGAGAUCAGUGUGUGAUGUAUUUGUUUUCUGUGCAUUGAUGACAUUUGUGAAACUGUUCGGUUACUUUAUGACCAUCUCUCUGACAACUACUUUGACAUUUGAAAUUCAAUUUGAGCGACGGACAAGCAGGCCAAAUAAUAUGCAUGUAAAACAUACAAUUGUAAUAAGACAUUGAUAAACUUCAAUUUAAACAAACUACAUGUACAUGUAUCUUUGAGCUUGGCAUUGAAAUACAUGUAUACUUUACAUGGACACUUUUAAUGAAUUUGUCUCAUGAUAAUGGAACAUUCAAUUGUUAUACAUUGUAGAUAUAAAUUGUAGAUAAUAUGCAUUUGGUCCAAUAUAUAUAAUUAUAUUUAUAUUCACUGAAAAAAGGAAUUACCCUGAAUAAAUAUUGUGAA